rnacentral:lncRNA from 1 species
CUUAUCACUAAUUCGUCCCCAGACUCUUUGCCAAUUAUUUCCUCUCAAGACCUUCAGACCUAUUAGUAGGAAACAGAUUUCAUCUUCCUGAAGAAAUCACUCCCAGAGCUUUCUGACCUGCUCUGGUCUGGACCGGCGGCAGUUCGUGCCAGGUGUACCGCUGGCCCCUGGAUGUUCUUCAGUUGAGAGGGCGGCUGACUCCCACCAGAGCAAGAAAGCAAGAAAGCAAGAAAGCAAGAGAGGACGAGACGGAAGGCAGCCUUCUUAUAAACCUAAUCUUCAAAGUGAUCUUCCGUCGUUUUCGCUCAGCCCAUUCUCAAAGGGAGAACGAACUACGCAGGGUGUGAACAUCAGGAGGUGGGAUCACCGGGGCCAUCUUGGAGGCUGCCUUCCAAGCUAGUAAAUAACCAACAGAGGCUGGAGCACAUGAAUUAGGCUUCACUGCAGGGUGAUUCAACUGGGGCGUUUACUUGGGGACCCUUGAAUGUCAAUUCUUAGGGUUUUCCUUCUUGGGCUGAUCAAAUUUCCCAGAAAACACUUUUGUAAUCUCCUGGCUGGAGGGUGAAAUUUGGACUGCCAGACGUGAUGGAGCCACAUGGAGAAGAGGGCUGUGGGGGUCUCAAGACACAGCACUCCUUUAGUCUCCUACUGCGGUUAUGGUGCCCCUCUUCCCAGCGUGUCUGGUACCUCACAUUCCAAAGACCCUCUGUGUUAUCCUCUCCAGAGAAUAAAACUCCAGUCUUUUCCUGGGUCAGGGGCAGUUGCUUUGCAUCGGGGAAUUGGGGAGGAGAUCUGGAAUCCUUUUUAAAUAAGCUUUCAACCAAUUUUCCUCAUGUUAGCCUGCCCUUCACCCCCAUUUCUAGAGGUCCCUGUUGCCACCAGUUCAUGAGCCUGGUGCGGACUCUGCAGGAGAAACUUGGUUGAGUCUUGGCCUUUCCCACUCCUGGCUUGGGAUUCAGCUUUCACAGGUCUGCCAAGUCACUUACCACUCAUUCAUCUGCGUUCCAGCUUUCAAAAUUGUAGUGGCAUUGCAUCCUGUUUUGUUCUCCCUGUCCUUACGGGUUUAGUGCCUUCCUAAAAGCUCUCUUUACUGCCAUUAUAGUCUGAUUUCAGGAGGGAGCCAAAGGAGAUGUGUGUAUUCAAUCCACCCUCAUUAGCCUCAGGUAUUUCUUCUUUAUAUUUGUUUGUUUAUUUGUUUAUUGUCUGUCUUUCCCUCUUGGAUGUGGGUUCCAGGAUAACUUGUCUCUUUCGUUCAACUAUGCAUCCUCAGCCCCUAGAACCGUCUUGACACAGGUAGG